GCCCUCUAAAUGGAUAGCUCAGUUGGUACAGCCUGAGGCUCCUAAUCUCAGGGUUGUGGGUUUGAGUCCCACCCAGGGCA